rnacentral:rRNA from 1 species
AGCGAACGCUGGCGGCAGGCCUAACACAUGCAAGUCGAACGAACUCUUCGGAGUUAGUGGCGGACAGGUGAGUAACACGUGGGAACGUGCCUUUUGGUUCGGAAUAACUCGGGGAAACUUGUGCUAAUACCGAAUGUGCCCUUCGGGGGAAAGAUUUAUCGCCAUUAGAGCGGCCCGCGUCUGAUUAGCUAGUUGGUGAGGUAACGGCUCACCAAGGCGACGAUCAGUAGCUGGUCUGAGAGGAUGACCAGCCACACUGGGACUGAGACACGGCCCAGACUCCUACGGGAGGCAGCAGUGGGGAAUCUUGCGCAAUGGGCGAAAGCCUGACGCAGCCAUGCCGCGUGAAUGAUGAAGGUCUUAGGAUUGUAAAAUUCUUUCACCGGGGACGAUAAUGACGGUACCCGGAGAAGAAGCCCCGGCUAACUUCGUG